GCAGCAGUGAGGAAUAUUGGUCAAUGGACGAGAGUCUGAACCAGCCAAGUAGCGUGAAGGAUGACUGCCCUAUGGGUUGUAAACUUCUUUUAUAUGGGAAUAAAACAGGGUAUGCAUACCCUCUUGUAUGUACCAUAUGAAUAAGGAUCGGCUAACUCCGUGCCAGCAGCCGCGGUAAUACGGAGGAUCCGAGCGUUAUCCGGAUUUAUUGGGUUUAAAGGGAGCGUAGGUGGAUUGUUAAGUCAGUUGUGAAAGUUUGCGGCCCAACCGUAAAAUUGCAGUUGAAACUGGCAGUCUUGAGUACAGUAGAGGUGGGCGGAAUUCGUGGUGUAGCGGUGAAAUGCUUAGAUAUCACGAAGAACUCCGAUUGCGAAGGCAGCUCACUGGACUGCAACUGACACUGAUGCUCGAAAGUGUGGGUAUCAAACAGGAUUAGAUACCCUGGUAGUCCACACAGUAAACGAUGAAUACUCGCUGUUUG
rnacentral:rRNA from 1 species